rnacentral:rRNA from 1 species
ACUCCGUACGGGGAGGCAGCAGUGGGGUAAUAUUGCACAAAUGGGCGCAAGCCUGAUGCAGGCAACGCCGUGUGAGUGAAGAAGGUUUUCGGAUCGUAAAACUCUGUCCUAAGGGAAGAAAAAAUGACGGUACCUUAGGAGGAACGCCCCGGCUAACUACGUGCCAGCAGCCGCGGUAAUACGUAGGGGGCAAGCGUUAUCCGGAAUCACUGGGCGUAAAGGGUGCGUAGGCGGCUUAGCAAGCCAGGGGUGAAAGGCAUUGGCUCAACCAAUGUAAGCCUUUGGAACUGUUAAGCUUGAGUGCAGGAGAGGUAAGUGGAAUU